rnacentral:rRNA from 1 species
UACGUAGGGGGCAAGCGUUAUCCGGAUUUACUGGGUGUAAAGGGAGCGUAGGCGGUGAUGCAAGUCAGAAGUGAAAGCCCGCAGCUCAACUGCGGGACUGCUUUUGAAACUGUAUGACUAGAUUGCAGGAGAGGUAAGUGGAAUUCCUAGUGUAGCGGUGAAAUGCGUAGAUAUUAGGAGGAACACCAGUGGCGAAGGCGGCUUACUGGACUGUAAAUGACGCUGAGGCUCGAAAGCGUGGGGAGCAAACAGG